rnacentral:misc_RNA from 1 species
GAUGAAGAACGUAGCGAAAUGCGAUAAGUAGUGUGAAUUGCAGAAUUCCGUGAAUCAUCGAAUCUUUGAACGCACAUUGCGCCCCUUGGUAUUCCGAGGGGCAUGCCUGUUCGAGCGUCAUUAUAACCCCUCAAGCUCAGCUUGGUGUUGGGGCCUGCCGCACGGGCAGCCCUUAAAAUCAGUGGCGGUGCCAUCUGGCUCUAAGCGUAGUAAUUCUUCUCGCUAUAGAGUCCCGGUGGAUGCUUGCCAUUAACCCCCAAUUUUCUAUGGUUGACCUCGGAUCAGGUAGGGAUACCCGCUGAACUUAAGCAUAUCAAUAAGCGGAGGA